rnacentral:rRNA from 1 species
UGGGGAAUAUUGCACAAUGGGCGCAAGCCUGAUGCAGCCAUGCCGCGUGUGUGAAGAAGGCCUUCGGGUUGUAAAGCACUUUCAGCGGGGAGGAAGGCGUUAAGGUUAAUAACCUUGGCGAUUGACGUUACCCGCAGAAGAAGCACCGGCUAACUCCGUGCCAGCAGCCGCGGUAAUACGGAGGGUGCAAGCGUUAAUCGGAAUUACUGGGCGUAAAGCGCACGCAGGCGGUCUGUCAAGUCGGAUGUGAAAUCCCCGGGCUCAACCUGGGAACCGCAUUCGAAACUGGCAGGCUAGAGUCUUGUAGAGGGGGGUAGAAUUCCAGGUGUAGCGGUGAAAUGCGUAGAGAUCUGGAGGAAUACCGGUGGCGAAGGCGGCCCCCUGGACAAAGACUGACGCUCAGGUGCGAAAGCGUGGGGAGCAAACAGG